GGUCUCUAGAGUGAAAAUUACUCAAUCUAUGGAUUAAACAGAAAAUUUAGUUUUAUGAAGUGCAAUUUGGGACAUUCUUCCAGUUGUCGGCAACUUUGUGAAAAAGGCUGGAAACUAAAAUGCAGAAUUCUGGCCUGGUGUUUGGUCUGUGCUGUCUUUGACUCUUGCAUCUCCAUCAUCCUGACCCUCUUUAGCAGCCUGUCCAUGUAUUUAUUCGGAGGCCACCAUGAGCACCCAUCUGCAUAAUAUGACUUUGUUACUCAGUUGUCCAUGCUCCUACAAAUUCUACAUUUUUUGUAAAGCUGCAACAAGUUGAAACCCUAUAAUUAUUAACGUUUGAUUUUGAAUUAUGUAAUUCAAAUACAUAAAUAAGUAACAAAAGCAGAAAUCUAUUAAGACAUUACCUUUUUGUUGUUUGUUUACUGAUCUAUCAAUCCUUUUGCAUUCUCAUAAUUGAUCAUCAUAACUUGGUAUACAGUGGAUGUGUGGCUGUAGAUAACUUUCUGAAGUCAAUUCAAAAAGGCAAAAGUUAAUAAAUGCUAAAUUGGUCAAAUAUACAUUGUUGUAUUUUCACCAUUUUGAUCUUAUUUAGGCAUUUCAUAACUUG